rnacentral:rRNA from 1 species
UACAGAGGUCUCAAGCGUUGUUCGGAUUCAUUGGGCGUAAAGGGUGCGUAGGUGGCGCGGUAAGUCGGGUGUGAAAUCUCGGAGCUUAACUCCGAAAUUGCAUUCGAUACUGCCGUGCUCGAGGACUGGAGAGGAGACUGGAAUUCAUGGUGUAGCAGUGAAAUGCGUAGAGAUCAUGAGGAAGACCAGUGGCGAAGGCGGGGUCUCUGGACAGUUCCUGACACUGAGGCACGAAGGCCAGGGGAGCAAACGGG